rnacentral:lncRNA from 1 species
AGUGCGCAGGGGGAAGCCAAAUUAUGUUCCUGAGGUUGAAGUGGUCUGUCACCCCUUCACAGAUCAUCACACAAUGUAUAGCCUAAUAUUUUCUUAAAGUUGUCCGGAUUUGUUGCCACUUAAGCUAUGGUUUAAAUAUAUGGUAAAAAAUAUUCUGUGCCCCCUUCUCUCCACCAGGUGCUGUUGUAAGACAUGUUGCUGAAAGUGAAAUACCUCAAUGUAAAGAAGUACAUUAAAUUGCACGCAGGAUUCACUUAUCUAGAAUUCAUCAGUGAAGCCAAAACCAAGUUUGGACUUCCGGAUGCUGCUGACCUUGAUAUUUUCGAUGAAACUGACACAGCUGUCGAAGAAGACAUUUUUCUGGAGUUACUGGAGGCCCAACCAGACCUAUGCCUGACAAUACGUGAAAAGAUUUCAGAUGAAGAUUUUUGUCCUUUAGCUCAUUCCACACCAUCCUCCUCGGAUACAUUAUCUUCCCUCACGGACACUAUAUCACUUUCAUCAAGUGACAGUGACCUCAGGGAAAAGGGCAUUCCUGCAGGCCGCAGUAGAUCCAGCAAAGACAGUUCUGCACCAAAUGUUUCUGUGUCAGAGGCUGCAAAAGAGGUAAUUGAGAACAGAAAAUGUCUUUUGUAUUUUUGA